GACGAACGCUGGCGGCGUGCUUAACACAUGCAAGUCGAACGGAAAGGCCCUGCUUUUGUGGGGUGCUCGAGUGGCGAACGGGUGAGUAACACGUGAGUAACCUGCCCUUGACUUUGGGAUAACCUCAGGAAACUGGGGCUAAUACCGGAUAGGAGCUCCUGCUGCAUGGUGGGGGUUGGAAAGUUUCGGCGGUUGGGGAUGGACUCGCGGCUUAUCAGCUUGUUGGUGGGGUAGUGUCUUACCAAGGCUUUGACGGGUAGCCGGCCUGAGAGGGUGACCGGCCACAUUGGGACUGAGAUACGGCCCAGCCUCCUACGGGAGGCAGCAGUGGGGAAUAUUGCACAAUGGGCGGAAGCCUGAUGCAGCAACGCCGCGUGCGGGAUGACGGCCUUCGGGUUGUAAACCGCUUUCGCCUGCGACGAAGCGUGAGUGACGGUAAUGGGUAAAGAAGCACCGGCUAACUACGUG
rnacentral:rRNA from 1 species